ACUGCCGAACAAGCUGGUGUGCAUCGCUAUAGACAUUUCAGUAAGGGCAAUUUGCUGGGUAAAAGUCAGAUUUCACCCUUAAGAGGCAACUUUCAAUUAAGGGGAACAUUAGAAUGAAACCCUAAACUUUGGGCUCUGAUUUAUUUUGCAGAAAGAGGUAGUAUAGUGCUGAAGAGGGUUAACACUAGUUUACUAACAGUUGUCCCUCUUGAAAGUAAUUACUACAGGAAAGUAAGAUGGUACAAGUAACGAAGAUUGACACAAAUGUGCCAUAUGUAUACGAGGUGCUUCAUAAAGGUCCUCCGGCUGAAUAAUUCAUAAACAAGAUGGCGCUAUCAAAAAGCUUUCAUUUCACUGAUCAUUCCUGAGGUGUUGGCCAAGAACUCAGCAGUGGGAGAGUCAUUUGCAUGCUCUCAUUGAUUGAAUAAAGCUCGUUUUAAACUUUUAAGCGUGUUAACUUUUUACUGUGGAUGCCUUCAGUAAUUCUGUUUUAUUGAUUUGAACCUUCAGCAAAAACUGUUCCAGACAAAGAAACACAGCAUUUAUAUUUUAAUGAUUUCUAGUUAAUUGGUUUCGGCGUACAUAUUUCUUGGACGGAGCAGUGUAUCGAUGCGCUCUUACACUUAGCUAUGAGGCCGCCAAAGAAAGCUUUCUGAUAGCAUCUCCUGUUUAUGAAUUAUUCUGCUGGGGGACCGUAGUGAAACAGCAGCUACACCUGGGCUCUGACUUUCUGUGCCAGUACAAAAUUUCAGAAAAUCACCUUAAGAAAAUGCAGAACAAGGCAUAUGACAGCUAAAAUUGUGUAUAAGUAAAACUAAAAAGUAAGAUAAUCCCUUGUACUUAUUAAAUAUGAAAAUUGGAAUCACUUAGGAAGUGAACGUGAGUAGUCACUGAUUGUUAAAAACUAUACUUCUUGACAACCUCUUACGCAGACGUGGCCUUGCAGUCACCUUCUCCGUGUACUGUUUGGCAAUGUGAUAAAGUCGUAUCUUCCCAUAACAGUCUGCAACGUGUUUUGCAAGGCGAAUGACAUGGUUUUCGUCUGGACUGCACUCAAACAUGUGCUGGCUCAAAGUAGGAAAAAUGUCCAGUCUUGCAGACGUGCACAGAAUGUCCUGCAAGACGGCCCUUGUGAGAAGCUGCCCAAGCUGAGCAUUGGAUGUCAAGGUUCCUUCUGAGAUAUGAAGCAUUUGACGAACACGUUUUUCUGUUGUUUUACAAAUGGCGAUGACACUCUGAGACACACUAAUCAGACCACCUCGAGACUUUCGACGAAGAAGAGCACUGUGUAAAGUUCUGUCUGUGAGAGCGUCAAUGCAGUCAGCACAGGAGAUCUUCCUUGUCACCAUCUUGACAACGUACCCCGCGAUGUACCCCACAACAUCUUCAACAAAGGCUGACAGUUGCUCUGCAUCAGGUACAUCUGCGUAGUCGUGGUCUUCAACACAUUCACUCUGUGCAGUACCAAAAUAGCGUGAUGCAUGAAUGUCAAGUUCGUCAAGGGAAGUAGCUCCUGCUGCUGCUGCUGCUGUCACAGUCAGUAUGCGUGUGGAGUCUUGGGCGAUACAAUUACCUCGUGCUGUAGGCUCGAUUUCAUGGUGAACAAGGAGCCUCUUGUAUGCAGCCAUGAAGUGUCAUGCCGUCGCGUUGUUGCACCACCCACCUUUACCCCUCAACGCACAAAAGAAAAGUUCGAGGUGGUCUCGAGAGAGUUUGUAUGUGAGCAGGUACCUUAAGAGUGCAUUAUCUCCUGAAAGAAGAUGGCUGCAUAGGCUUUGAAUGCUUGCCAUGUUGAUGAGGAAUCCAAGGAAGCCUGUUUUUCGUGGGGAUUCUAAUAUUCGCUUUCCAGAUGCAUCUUUCAGGUUGCCAAUAUACGCAGUCAUCUCGUUGAAGAAUGGAAUCCAAAGGUGGCGGGUUGGAUAACGGAUGGGUGCUUUGAAGUUCUUUGCCAGGGGAUUGCGGGAGUUCAUGAUGUCGAACAGACGAUCGAACUUCCUGAGGAGUUCCACUGUUGCCUCACAUCCAUGAAACAUUGGAUUGUUUAUGUCCCUGUCACAGAACUCCAGAGCAUCCGCCACACUUGAGCUGAGCGUCUGAGCUGCCGAAUUCACCUUCAUCUUCUGACUUCCCCAGUCAAUGGUCCCCAUUGUUGCCAGGGCAUUACGAAUCAGCUUCAGCAUGUGGCAAGCAUCGAGGAUUACAUGAACCCUCCAGGAAGAAUCAGAAGGGUGCUGAAACCAUGGCCUGAUGUCAGGGCUUUUCAUGUUUGCACCAAGGUCUUCAAACAUGGCUGUUGAUCAGAAAGUAUGCACAUGGCACUUUCCAGUCACUGUCCAAAGCAACCACAAGGAAUACAAGAGCUUGUGUAGCUGGUUCCUGACUGUCGUCAUCAAUGCCAGUACCUAGGACUAUGAAACCAUUAAAGGACUGUCCUGUGAACUGGAUCUGCUUCUUUAUGCUCAUUUCAUCGAGCAUGAGUGAACACACGACACGUUUAGUGCCUCAACUGCGACGUUCACCUCCAGUUUUAAUGUACGAGGACUUUCCUGCACUACGUAUGUAUGGUCUGCUGCAAGACUACAUGAGGCUUGUGACGCUUCUGAUGACGGCCCUGGUGUGCCCCAAGAUGGUCCUGGCUGUGACGUGCUACCGAUGGUAUCCUGCUCUACUUUAUGUCUAGUGGCAGGGGGCUUUCUUGGUUGUGCAUUCUGUGUAACAAAGAUGUAACGAAAUAUGCGUUCGUCAAUAAGUUCCAAGAUGUUAUGUUUG